rnacentral:rRNA from 1 species
CCCUUAGAUGUCCUGGGCCGCACGCGUGCUACACUGACGCCUACAGCGAGUACUUCCCAGCCCCGAGAGGUGGCAGGUAAUCAGCAAUAGGCGUCGUGAUGGGGAUAGAUCUUUGGAAUUAUGGAUCUUGAACGAGGAAUGCCUAGUAAGCGCAGGUCAUUAGCCUGCGCUGAUUAAGUCCCUGCCCUUUGUACACACCGCCCGUCGCUCCUACCGAUUUCGAGUGGUCCGGUGAAUCUUUCGGAUUGGCGCGCACCCCGGUGCCGCCGAGAAGUUGGCUAAACCUUACCAUUUAGAGGAAGGUGAAGUCGUANCA